rnacentral:lncRNA from 1 species
AAAUCCCCCAUUUUCAGCCCAAAUCCCCAAUUUUUAGCACCCAAAUUCCCCGCUUUUAGCCCCAAAUUCCCAUUUUUAGCUCCCAAAUCCCCCAUUUCAACCCCAAAUCCCCCCAUUUUAGCCCCAUAUCCCCCCAUUUUUAACCCCAAAUCCCUUCAUUCGUCCCCCAAUUCCCCAUUCUUCGCCCCAAAUCCCCCUUUUCGAACCCCAAACCUCCAUUCUUUGCCCCAAAUCCCCUUUUGUCCCCCAAAUCCCCAUUUUUACCCCCCAAUUCCCCCUUUUCAACCCCAAAUUUCCCCCCCCACCCCAUAGAUGCCAGCCAUUGCGGGGACCCCACCACAGCAGCGCCCCCCACCCCAGGGAGCUCCGCCCUCCGCCCCAACCCAGCCCCGCCCACCGGGGGGCGUGGCCUCAACAUCGCCCCGCCCACCUCAACCACGCGGUUCCGUCCAACCCCGCCCCCAAGCCCCGCCCACUUCCCCACAGCCCCGCCCACACGGACCGCAGCCCCGCCCCCAAGCCCCUCCCAUUGGUCAGCAGCGCCCUCAAGCUCCGCCCACUGCUCAGCCCCGCCCCCAAACCCCUCCCAUUGGUCAGCCACGCGGUCCGGCUCCGCCAAGCGGCGCCCAAGCCACGCCCACCGGCGCUCAGCCCCGCCCACAAGGGCAGCCCCGCCCACAAACGCCACCCAUUGGUCAGCUCCGCCCACAAACCCCGCCCACAGGCCCCCAGGCUCCUCCCACUGCCCAACCGCGUCCUCAGACCCCGCCCACUUCCCCGCAGCCCCGCCCACAGGCUCCUCCCAUUGGCCAGCCGCGUCCCCAGGUCCCGCCCACCUCGCCACAGCCACGCCCACAGGCUACUCCCAUUGGCCAGCCGCGCUCGCAGGCACCGCCUAACUCCCCGCAGCCUCGACCUCAAGCUCCGCCCACUUCUCCGCAGCCCCGCCCCUCUGGGCCUCAGCCACGCCCCCAGGCUCCACCCAUUGGUCAACCCCGCCCCCAGGCCCCCCCCCCCCCCCCCCCCCCCCCCCCCCCCCCCCCCCCCGCCCCCCCCCCCUCCUCCGCCCCGCCCCCACCCCCCGCCCCCCCCCCCUCCCCCCCCCCCCCCGCGCCCCCAACCCCCCCCACCCGGCCCUCAAGCCACGCCCACCACGCGUCAGCCCCGCCCCCAAGCCCCGCCCCCUGGACCCAAACCUGCGUUGGCGCCAAAACCCGGCAGGUAGGGGCGGGGCUUAAAGCAGGAAGGGGCGGGGUUUAAAAGCCGGAAGGGGGCGGGGCUUAAUAUUUGAGUGGCGUGGUUUGUUUUGGGGGCGUGGCUUCUUUCUAAGGGGCGGGGCCUGGGGCG